rnacentral:rRNA from 1 species
GACGAACGCUGGCGGCGUGCUUAACACAUGCAAGUCGAACGGUGACCUCGAGAGCUUGCUCUCGGGUGAUCAGUGGCGAACGGGUGAGUAACACGUGAGUAACCUGCCCCAGACUCUGGAAUAACCCCGGGAAACCGGAGCUAAUACAGGAUACGAGACGGAGCCGCAUGGCUACUGUCUGGAAAGUUUUUCGGUCUGGGAUGGACUCGCGGCCUAUCAGCUUGUUGGUGAGGUAACGGCUCACCAAGGCGACGACGGGUAGCCGGCCUGAGAGGGCGACCGGCCACACUGGGACUGAGACACGGCCCAGACUCCUACGGGAGGCAGCAGUGGGGAAUAUUGCACAAUGGGCGAAAGCCUGAUGCAGCGACGCCGCGUGAGGGAUGACGGCCUUCGGGUUGUAAACCUCUUUCAGCAGGGAAGAAGCGAAAGUGACGGUACCUGCAGAAGAAGCACCGGCUAACUACGUGCCAGCCGCCGCGGUAACAC